UGCAGCUUCGUCAAAUUCAGCCCCGCCCACUCCUGGCGGCCGCUGGCCAAUGGGCUGCUACAGAGUCCUGUAGCUCAUGGGCCUCGUUUUCUCUUCCGUAGAAUGCGAGGAUAAAAUUGUGCUACAAACAUUG